CGAACGGGUGAGUAACGCGUGAGGAACCUGCCUCAAAGAGGGGGACAGCAGUUGGAAACGACUGCUAAUACCGCAUAAGCCCACGGCUCGGCAUCGAGCAGAGGGAAAAGGAGCAAUCCGCUUUGAGAUGGCCUCGCGUCCGAUUAGCUAGUUGGUGAGGUAACGGCCCACCAAGGCAACGAUACAUAGGGGGACUGAGAGGUUAACCCCCCACAUUGGUACUGAGACACGGACCAA
rnacentral:rRNA from 1 species